rnacentral:rRNA from 1 species
GAGUUUGAACCUGGCUCAGGAUGAACGCUGGCGGCGUGCUUAACACAUGCAAGUCGAACGGGGGCGUGAUGUGCGAGAGGGAUAGUUUACUAGACUUCAAACUUUUCACGCCCUAGUGGCGGACGGGUGAGUAACGCGUGGGUAACCUGCCAUAUACAGGGGGAUAACACUUAGAAAUAGGUGCUAAUACCGCAUAAGCGCACAGGGGCGCAUGCCCCGGUGUGAAAAACUCCGGUGGUAUAUGAUGGACCCGCGUCUGAUUAGCCAGUUGGCAGGGUAACGGCCUACCAAAGCGACGAUCAGUAGCCGGCCUGAGAGGGCGGACGGCCACAUUGGGACUGAGACACGGCCCAAACUCCUACGGGAGGCAGCAGUGGGGGAUAUUGCACAAUGGGGGAAACCCUGAUGCAGCGACGCCGCGUGAGUGAAGAAGUAUUUCGGUAUGUAAAGCUCUAUCAGCAGGGAAGAAAAUGACAGUACCUGACCAAGAAGCCC